AGAGUUUGAUCCUGGCUCAGGACGAACGCUCGCGGCGUGCCUAACACAUGCAAGUCGAACGGAGCACUUCGGUGCUUAGUGGCGAACGGGUGAGUAACGCGUGAGAAACCUGCCUUUCAGUGGGGGACAACAGUUGGAAACGACUGCUAAUACCGCAUAAUGUUAUUUGGGGGCAUCCCUGAAUAACCAAAGCUUUAUGUGCUGAAAGAUGGUCUCGCGUCUGAUUAGCUAGAUGGCGGGGUAACGGCCCACCAUGGCGACGAUCAGUAGCCGGUCUGAGAGGAUGAACGGCCACAUUGGGACUGAGAUACGGCCCAGACUCCUACGGGAGGCAGCAGUGGGGAAUAUUGGGCAAUGGGCGAAAGCCUGACCCAGCAACGCCGCGUGAAGGAAGAAGGCCCUCGGGUUGUAAACUUCUUUUACCAGGGACGAAGAAAGUGACGGUACCUGGAGAAAAAGCAACGGCUAACUACGUGCCAGCAGCCGCGGU
rnacentral:rRNA from 1 species